rnacentral:rRNA from 1 species
AUGAGGACUAAUCUGUCUCUUACGGACCAACCAAUGAAAUUAAUCUUUCAGUACAAAAGCUGAAAUAAAAACAUAAGACGAGAAGACCUGUGGAGCUUCAAACCAAAAACACCCUGCAUGCUCCUCAGGUUUUUAGUUGGGGCGACUUCGGAGCACAAUAAAACCUCCAAAAUCUUUAUCUUCAAGAUUAACAAACCAAAAACUUUAUUAGACCCAGCAAUGUAUAACAUUGUCUGACCACUGAACCAAGUUACCCCAGGGAUAACAGCGCCAUCCCCUCCUAGAGUCCAUAUCAACAAGGGGGUUUACGACCUCGAUGUUGGAUC